UGGGAUUUGGAAAACCGGUGGGGUUUCGUUUUUUACCAACUGAUGAAGAAAUUUUUAUGUUUCUUCGAAUGAAAGUAAACGGAGAGCGAUUACCACACGAUGAGGUGGCUGAGUCUGAUAUAUACGGAGACAAAGAGCCGUGGGUGAUAUUUGAUCAGAAUGAGAAAAGGCAGUUCUUCGUCUUCUCCAAGUUGAAGAAGAAGACCAAGUCAAGGAAGGAAAGAAUCGUAGGCUACAGGACUUGGAAGAUUGAACGAACUGAAGAAGUUCGUGAUCGUGGGAACAAACUCAUCGGAUUCAAGAAAUCGUUCGUCUUCCAAUAUAAGAAAACAAGGCCAAAGGUGCUGUCGCUAAAGGACACUAGAUCAUGAAUGAGUUUUCGCUUCGAGACUAUUCACAUGCUGACGAUUUUGAUGAGUACGUCCUAUGUCGAAUAAGAAACAAAGACUUGGACAAAAUGAAAUAUCAUGAUCAUGUUCAUGCUCAUGCCCAUCAAGUUCCAGUCGUGGAGACCGACUAAAUAAACCAGACAAACUUGAACUCGGGAGAAAAAAAUCCUAUUGCUGCUGUGCCCCAAUAAUACCGGCGUCUGAACAAGAAGUGAUUGAUGAAAUGGUUGCUGAGCCUAUGGGCGAUUUUGCUUGAUAUGAAGUACUGAACAAACAACAGUACUGAACACGAGGGAUGCAUUCCCUCUGAAAGUGGUUGGUGGCAGCAAUCUAUCUAUCCCUUAAUAUUUAACCAGCCCCUGAUAUGAACCUGCGCGCAGAACACAGCUU